CCUUACUUCUUCCUCUGCGGUAGGACACUGUCCCAUGCCGCUCAGCGAUAACUUUUGUAGGCAUCAUUGCAGUGCACAGGCUACCAGCAUGCGGGCCCCCCCCAGCUUCAGGACAGCAGCAGCAGCUAGGCUCUCUGGGCCCUUGUCUCCCUCAAGAGUGAGAUACCAGCUAAAAUCACCACUGCCUGUGGAAAAUGGUGCCAGUAUUCAGUGCCACGGCCUGUAUGGUUCAUAGUUUCAUGCAACUGAGCAAUUUCCCUAGCCUCUGGCAGGCCUGGUGCCGUGAGUGGUGCCGUGCACAAGCAUUCCAAAGCAGAAGUGUCAAUCGGCAGGUCUUGUGUAAAACUUUAAGGGAGCAAGGGAUGGAAGUUCUGAAUCUUAACUUUUGCUUCCUGUUGUGACUCUACUGACAACUCUACUCUGUGUGUUUUAUCUGAGGCUGCUGCCACUGUGGCCUUGAGGGGUUCCCCCUCCACACCCGUGGAACGCCUGAGCCAAAUGAGGAGGAGAAAGAGGAGGACUCAGGAUGACAUGUUCAGUGAGAUCCUGCAAGCCAGUGCUGCAUCAGAUUGUGAGCACAAAGCCUGGGGAUCAAUAUUGCAGACAGCCUGGUGAAGAAAAGAGCAGACAGGAGAAGGAGUCCCAGCAGCAAAAGGAGAGGGAGAUGUACCAAGACAUAAUGGGGCUUCUCUAGCAGCAAACACAGAUGCUGCACACGCUUGUGAAUCUACAGGUUCAACAAUCACAGACUCGCCUCCCUUUGCAGUCCAUGGAGAACUCCAUUAUGGCAUCUCCCUACCCGCCUCUCAACAUUACACAUGGCAUCAGGGGCUGCAUCUCUAUUCCUAUCACUCCACCCUGGUGGACACUGAGGACAACCACAGCUUCACAUACAGCAACCAUGACACUCACAGAGUACUCCAAUACUGAUCUCACACCACAUAGGACGAGCCAUGACAAGAAACAGAUGUCAGUCAUUCAACAGGACAGAAUAACCAUUUGGACAUGGCUUUUCCACUUGGGAUACUCCUCUGGCAUGGGACAUUCCUCUUCAUAAAUGCUCUGCUGCCAGAAGACCAGGCAGAUACUGAGAGACUUCACCAUAAACUGGAAUGGGAUCAUGCACCCUGUGAUGGAGUUAAAGAGUCUCCAUCACAGUGCCCUGAGAUUUCCAGCUACCAAAAGAUUUGGAAAGAUCAAGUAAGAACAGGAAAAGAGACAGCAUCUUGCUGGGUGCUGAUAAGUACUUGCUUAGAAACAAAUGCUGAAUAAUUUGGUCCUAUAACCAGCUUUCUGGACCUUGCUAGUUUGUGCUUGAGACCCUGAUGUUCACAUAUUGUGUCCUCCCAUUUAGAACUUAUAAUAUCCUCAAGAAAAUGAAACUCAGGUGAUACAGAUGUUCCAAG